UGGGGAAUCUUAGACAAUGGGGGCAACCCUGAUCUAGCCAUGCCGCGUGAGUGAUGAAGGCCUUAGGGUUGUAAAGCUCUUUCAGCUGGGAAGAUAAUGACGGUACCAGCAGAAGAAGCCCCGGCUAACUCCGUGCCAGCAGCCGCGGUAAUACGGAGGGGGCUAGCGUUGUUCGGAAUUACUGGGCGUAAAGCGCACGUAGGCGGACUGGAAAGUCAGAGGUGAAAUCCCAGGGCUCAACCUUGGAACUGCCUUUGAAACUAUCAGUCUGGAGUUCGAGAGAGGUGAGUGGAAUUCCGAGUGUAGAGGUGAAAUUCGUAGAUAUUCGGAGGAACACCAGUGGCGAAGGCGGCUCACUGGCUCGAUACUGACGCUGAGGUGCGAAAGCGUGGGGAGCAAACAGGUUAGAUACCCUGGUAGUCCACGCCGUAAACGAUGAAUGCCAGACGUCGGCAAGCCAUGCUUGUCGGUGUCACACCUAACGGAUUAAGCAUUCCGCCCUGGGGAGUACGGUCGCAAGAUUAAACUCAAUG
rnacentral:rRNA from 1 species